GGUUGUGGCUCAGCGGUAGAGCGCUCGCCUUGCAUGUGAGAGGCCCUGGGUUCUAUCCUCAGCACCA
rnacentral:tRNA from 1 species